rnacentral:rRNA from 1 species
GACGGAGGAUGCAAGUGUUAUCCGGAAUCACUGGGCGUAAAGCGUCUGUAGGUGGUUUAAAAAGUCCACUGUUAAAAAUUGAAGCUUAACUUCAAAGAUGCCGUGGAAACUUUUAAACUUGAGUAUGGUAGGGGUAGAGGGGAUUUCCAGUGGAGCGGUGAAAUGCGUAGAUAUUGGAAAGACCACCAAUGGCGAAGGCACUCUACUGGGCCAUUACUGACACUGAGAGACGAAAGCGUGGGGAGCAAACAGG